CCAAUAGCGUAUAUUAAAGUUGUUGCAGUUAAAAAGCUCGUAGUCGGAUUUCUGGCUAGGGAGGGCGGUCCGUUCGGUUGAUUCCGAUUGUGAACCUGCACUUCCUGCCAUCCUCGUGGAGAGCUGUUCCCGGCUUCACUGUCGGAAGCACGCAAUCCACGUCAUUUACUGUGAACAAAUUAGAGUGUUCAAAGCAGGCUUACGCCACUGAAUACAUUAGCAUGGAAUAAUACUAUAGGACUUUGGUGAUUCUAUUGUUGGUUGCGCACCAGGGUAAUGAUUAAUAGGGAUAGUUGGGGAUAUUCGUAUUCAAUUGUCAGAGGUGAAAUUCUUGGAUUUCUGGAAGACGAACAACUGCGAAAGCAUUUAUCAAGGAUGUUUUCAUUGA
rnacentral:rRNA from 1 species